rnacentral:lncRNA from 1 species
UGCAGGGACGCUGAACUGAAGCUGCUGUUAUCCGUCCUCCUCUCCUUCAUGAUCUACCUUCUGCUCUGUGAGACAUGGAAGUCUGAUGUACGGCUGGACUGGAAAGCACCAGAAGACAGAGAAACAAAGUGGUCCCCCUCGCUCUCUGCCCUCAUCUUCUGCUGCCUCUCCCAGCUGUUCGGCCUCCUCAAGUUCCUCCUUAUCUCUCCGUGGUUCAUCCUGAGUUCUGCCUUCUGUCUGCUCCUUGGGUUCUACUGGUAUUCCAU